rnacentral:SRP_RNA from 1 species
GGCCGGGUUCUGCGCAACUAUGUUCCGUGAACCGAGUCAGGGUCGGAAGGCAGCAGCUCUCAGCGGGUUACCUGGUGUGCCGCAGGUGACCUGGCGGCU